UGCCAGCCGCCGCGGUAAUACGGAAGGUGCGAGCGUUAAUCGGAAUUACUGGGCGUAAAGCGCACGUAGGUGGCUUGGUAAGUCGGAUGUGAAAGCCCUGGGCUCAACCUGGGAAUUGCAUUCGAUACUGCUUAGCUUGAGGCCGGGAGAGGGUGGUGGAAUUCCGAGUGUAGGGGUGAAAUCCGUAGAUAUUCGGAGGAACACCAGUGGCGAAGGCGGCUUUCUGGACCGAUACUGACGCUGAGACGCGAAAGCGUGGGGAGCAAACAGGAUUAGAUA
rnacentral:rRNA from 1 species